GGACGACGCGUGGCGGCGUGCUACACAGCAAGUCGAACGGUAGACGGAGGAGCUUGCUCCUCUGAUCAGUGGCGAACGGGUGAGUAACACGUGAGCAACCUGCCCCACGACCUGGAUAACAGUUGGAAACAGCUGCUAAUACCGGAUACGAGACGGAGAGGCAUCUCUACCGUCUGGAAAGUUUUUCGGUCUGGGAUGGACUCGCGGCCUAUCAGCUAGUUGGUGAGGUAAUGGCUCACCAAGGCGAUGAUAGAUAGGCGGCCUUAACGGGUGGUCGCCCACACUGGGAUUGAGAUACGGCCCAGACUCCUACGGGAGGCAGCAGUCGAGAAUAGUCUACAAUGGCCGGAAGGCUGAUAGUGCGACGCCGCGUGAACGAGGGAGCCCUUCGGGGUGUAAAGUUCUUUUCUAUACGAGCAGUGCUAUAUAUAUGGAUAGUAUAUAUAGAGGGAUAGUAGUAUAGGAAUAAGCAACGGCUAACUCCGUG
rnacentral:rRNA from 1 species